GUGCCCUCCAUGGUCCCCACCCCGUCAGCCUUUGGGGUUUGCCCCUGUGAGUGUGUCCCCCUCGGUCUCUGCCCUGUCAGCCUUUGGGGUGUGCCCCUGUGAGUGUGCCCCCGACAGGCCCUGCCCUGUCAGCCUUUGGGGUGUGCCCCUGUGAGUGUGUCCCCCACAGGCCCUGCCCCAUCAGGCUUCGGGGUUUGCAUGGGGCCAGGUUUCCUCCUUGGGCAAAGGAGGCAUUUUUUCUGAUUAAAAAAACAUGCACGCGAGCCACCAAAGAGAAGAAAACAUGAGCUGCCAGUGUCCCCCAGCCGUGAGGACUGGGCAUGGGAGGGCAGGACUCACCCCGCUGGCCUCUGCCAGGCCCUGCCCCAUGGCCGCUGCCAUAACCCAGAGCUUGGAUUUGUCUGUGGUUCCUGGGGACGGCUGUGCUGGGAGAGGGUGAUACCUUGGAGGAUGGGCAGGGGCCGUGCAGCGGGGAGGGGACCUGGGAUGGGCGCUGGUGGGCUCACCUGGUGUCGUGUUCUCCACACGGUCAGCACUGCACCCGUCACACAGGCGAGGAAGCCCAAAGUAAAGGUGUCAGUGACCCGCAAGCACCUGCAAGUGCCCCGGAGGGCAGGAGCCUGGGGGUCUUGGACCCUGUCAUAGGGGGAAGGUGUGGGAGGGGCCACCAGAACCCAGGGAUGGGGAGCUGCUGGGAUGUGGGGGCGCACUGUGGAGCAGAAGAGCCAAGGGGUCUGAAGGAGAGGGGGACUGUGUGUCAGGCCUUUGCAGAAUGCUCUGGAAUAGGGCGUGGGCUCCUCCGCCUGGAGUCGGAGGUCGAGUAAGGAGGCGGUAGGAGGCGGCGGGGCCUGAGAGCAGAGAUCUUGGCCUGGUGGCUACAGCUGCAGGUGGCCUGCUCUGGUGUUGGGGGUAUGUGACACCGGCAAGGGGGUGUUAGGGAGGUGCAUCUGGUGGCUGUGGGAAGCUGACGAGGAGAACAGCAGGUGCCUGGCUUAGGCGACAAGGUGCAAGCACCCGCUCUCAUGGGGGAACGCCACGCAGGCCACACAGGCAGGUGCAUCAGGACUUUGCAGGACACAGCGGCCACGUGGGCUUCAGUAGAGCAGAAGAGCACUUUCUAUAGGCACCAUGCUUCUGCCGUGGACUUAGGAAUCAUAUUUUCAUUAUCUUUUCUUAGGUUUAUUUUCUUUCUAUGAAAUUAUAAAGACACACUUUUCUGUAUCUGUUUGAUACAUUUUAAAAUUAGUUUUUUUCACUGAGUCUUUAAUACAGCUGGACGCUGCUUGUAUAAUGUAUGAGGAGGCGUCUGAUUUAUUUUGUGAAUUUGCACAGAAAGUAAACAGCCCAACUUCAUUUCCGGCUAAGGUCUGGCUCCUCCCCUGAAGUGUAGCUCCUCCCUUGAGGUGUAGCUUCUGCCCUGAGGUGUGGCUCCUCCCCUGACGUGGCUCCUCCCCUGAGGUGUGACUCCUCCCCUGACGUGGCUCCUCCCUUGAGGUGUGACUCCUCUCCUGACGUGGCUCCUUCCCUGAGGUGUGACUCCUCCCCUGAUGUGGCUCCUCCCCUGAGGUGUGGCUCCUCCCCUGAGGUCUGGCUCUUUCUUCAUAGCUCUAUCUGCCCCUGUCUCAACCCUGUCUGGGUUCUGUCCCACUCAUCUCCGUCAUGCCACUGUUUGCCACAGCUUUGCAAUAGUCCUGACUCUAGGGUAGCAUGUCUUUAAAUUGGCCUUUCCUACUCUUGACGCUUUGGCUUUUCUGUGAGUU